rnacentral:rRNA from 1 species
GAUGAACGCUGGCGGCGUGCCUAAUACAUGCAAGUCGAGCGAACAGACGAGGAGCUUGCUCCUCUGACGUUAGCGGCGGACGGGUGAGUAACACGUGGAUAACCUACCUAUAAGACUGGGAUAACUUCGGGAAACCGGAGCUAAUACCGGAUAAUAUAUUGAACCGCAUGGUUCAAUAGUGAAAGACGGUUUUGCUGUCACUUAUAGAUGGAUCCGCGCCGCAUUAGCUAGUUGGUAAGGUAACGGCUUACCAAGGCAACGAUGCGUAGCCGACCUGAGAGGGUGAUCGGCCACACUGGAACUGAGACACGGUCAAGACUCCUACGGGAGGCAGCAGUAGGGAAUCUUCCGCAAUGGGCGAAGGCCUGACGGAGCAACGCCGCGUGAGUGAUGAAGGUCUUCGGAUCGUAAAACUCUGUUAUUAGGGAAGAACAAAUGUGUAAGUAACUAUGCACGUCUUGACGGUACCUAAUCAGAAAGCCACGGCUAACUACGUG